CAUUAGAUACCUAAAUGUAAGAUCUGGUCUCUUAAACCAAAAAUAGUAAAUUAACAAAUACUUCUAAUGA
rnacentral:tRNA from 2 species